rnacentral:rRNA from 1 species
UACGUAGGGUGCAAGCGUUGUCCGGAAUUAUUGGGCGUAAAGAGCUCGUAGGCGGUUUGUCGCGUCUGCUGUGAAAUCCCGAGGCUCAACCUCGGGUCUGCAGUGGGUACGGGCAGACUAGAGUGUGGUAGGGGAGAUUGGAAUUCCUGGUGUAGCGGUGAAAUGCGCAGAUAUCAGGAGGAACACCGGUGGCGAAGGCGGGUCUCUGGGCCGAUACUGACGCUGAGGAGCGAAAGCGUGGGGAGCGAACAGG